AUUUAUUUCCCACAGAAAUUACCAAUGUACAGGUAUUUAUAACUAUAAAUUAGGGAACAAGCUUUUCAUCACAAGAAGUAAAUUCUACCAAGCAAUAUCACAUUCUGUAAAGCAUAGCGGUAAGAGUUCCCAUUCAAUUAUAACAUUAAGCAAUAUUAAUUUCUCAGUUAUGAGAACUGAAAAAUGUGGAUUGGGGAGAUUGCUGCAUCCUAGGUGAUAUAUAUCACUAUAUUCUUCUGUUUGUUAUUGCCGUGAGGUCAUAGGGCUGAUUGCUAUCACCUAUAUAGCACAGCAUAGGGAGCACAUAUAGCUUUUAAGGGAUGCUAUGGACAUGGGUGACUUUUGUUCCACUGCCGUUCUCCCUACAUAAGAUUUGUAUAUAAUUACAUAGUGUGUAUAUGUUUAUUUUUUUGCCAUGUUAUCAUACAUUAAAUAAUAUACAGCUAUACCUUGCUACUGCAUUACUGAAUCAGCAGCUAGUAAGAUGAUAUUUAUUCACUUUCACAAAAUAUUUGCAAUUCAAAAUAUUAAUUCUAAAAUAUACUUGCACAUAAGUUCUGUAUAAUAUAAUGGGACUAAUGAACAUCAUUCUAGGAAUUUGUCCCAUUUCAUUUUCACAAAUACGAAAUUAAAUGGGAUGCAGAAAAUCUUGCAACGUUUGUGUCCUGUUAAGAGAAUUGGGCUAUUUGUAUUUUAUGUUUUGGAUUACAUUUACCAAACUUAAAUAUAUUUGGGGUUAAAAGAACACAAGAUGGCGGUCAUUUUGAAUUUCAUCUUAAUAGUAGGCUUGAAAAUUUAACUAAAAAAUUCUAUAUGCCAAGGUCUCCAGUGAAAUUUGUCAUCCAAACACAUACUCCGAGUGGCAAUAUCUAGCCAAGUUCUUUCAAUUUCCAAUUUCAUGAUCUGUCACCUGAUUUGUCUUAUACAAUGAAGCAGGUAAUUAUUUGUGUGCACGCUGAAGAGAAACACAAACAGAUAAAUUAUUCCAUUUCAGCAUAUCCAUCUGUUUGGAAUAAUGAUCUGCAGAUUUAUUUGUUCAAAUACAUCAAUAAGAUGCAAGCACUUUCAUGACAAAUAUACAGAAAAAAGGGAUCAACACAGAACAGUAACCUAGUUUAAAUGGAAAGAAAGCUUAUGACAAUAUACUCCCAAGAGAUUUCUUUUCUCCAGUUAAGUUACUUAUGUCAAUAAAAUAGAGGGCAAUAGGCUUAAGAGGGACAUUAGUUUGUAGAUUUUCAUUAAACUUCAAAAUGUUAAUACAUGCCAGUU